UACGUAGGGUGCGAGCGUUAAUCGGAAUUACUGGGCGUAAAGCGUGCGCAGGCGGUUUUGUAAGCCAGAUGUGAAAUCCCCGGGCUUAACCUGGGAAUGGCAUUUGGGACUGCAAGGCUCGAGUGCGGCAGAGGAGACUGGAAUUCCUGGUGUAGCAGUGAAAUGCGUAGAUAUCAGGAGGAACACCGAUGGCGAAGGCAGGUCUCUGGGCUGACACUGACGCUCAUGCACGAAAGCGUGGGUAGCGAACAGG
rnacentral:rRNA from 1 species